UAGAUGUAUAAAAUGAUUGUUUUCAAGGCACUUCCAAAUACACCUUCAUUGGAUAGAUACAAUAUCUGUUCGAUGAAACUAAAGUUUGACUUAAAACAUUAUGAAGAUUGCUUUAUGUAUUUUUGUGGUUUGUCUGUUUGUGAUUGGAGCACAGUCUCUGACAUGUCGUGAAAAUCAAACGACCAGUUCCAUAUGUCCACGACUCUCAGAGAAAGGGUGCACAGACUCCAGUACCAGCUUAAGAUUCAUCACAUGUAAAAUUCCUCAAUGCUACUGCAAAACUGGCUAUGUCCGCGAACCCCUCACCAGGAAGUGUUACAAGAAAAAAGACUGUCCCGAUUAUAGCAAAAUCUACACGAUUUUGGGAUUGAUUUGAAUAAAAUUUUGAAUUGAAUAC